UAUUAGUCUAUUGUCACAAACAGAUGAGGAAACCCUGGAUAGAAUGGCCGAAAUAAGGGUAAAAGCGAGGACAAAGCUUUGUGGACGUGAAAUAAACAAACGUGCUAGGCGAAAGGGACUGGCAUAGAAUUCCUCAAAGUUUUAAAUGAUACUGUGUUCCUGUGAUGAAGAUUUCAAACGGAGCAGCUGGUGCCUGUUUUGUAGAUUUAGGAAAGACCUUCCAGGAACUCUUCCCGUCCCGGUCUCGGACACUGCACGGAGACUCCCGGUCAUGUUUCCAGCUCUUUGAAAAGGUGAAACGAAUAAGAUUAAAAUGGACAAAGAAUUUUCUGUAAGUGUAUCAUUAAGAUUUGACUCCACAGAUCGGGAAGAGAGCUGGACGGAGAGAGAGAGAGAGAAGGGUGACAGUGAAUGAGAGCAGCGGGAAGAAGGCUAUCGCACGAAAACAGGAGCGAAAAAGAGAACGUGGACAGCAGGGUAUUAAACGAAGAAGCACUCAGCGACAACUAUUAGGCUAUAGUGGACGGGAAACAUCGGUACCUGAAUCACCAGCCA